AUUUUUUUUACCGAAUCGGUCAAACUUGGCAGCACUUUUCUUGUAAAAAAAAAAACGGAAUAUUUACGCGUCGUGAAUAAGCAAAUUUGCAAAUUUGUUUAAAAAUUUUUUUAAAAGUGAGAUUGUGUAUGUUUAAUUGUUUGAUUUAAAUAAAAGUGAUUAAAAUAAUAGAUAAGUAUAAAAACUGUUUAAAUGAGUAGUAAUCAAUUGAAAAUUUGGUUAAUAUUCCUACAAAUAGAAUCAAAUUAAAUGGCCAUCGAAUGUUGCAAAAUUAAAAUAAAACGAAAUCGAAAUUCAAACCAACUAGUUGGCGAACCAACCACCACCCCAGAGUCAUCAAACAAAGUCGUCUACCAUAAUGAUGUUGAUGACGACGCCACAUGCACGCACAUUCUAUAUUAUAUUCUUAAGAAGCCCUAGUAAUAAACACUUUGUUAUAUUUGCUACUUUUAUUUUGUAGCUGUUUCUUCUUCUUCUUCUUCUAUAAAUUACAAAGUUACAAUUACAAUUGUAUUUACAACUUGUCACCUGAAACUACAUAAAAGCGCUGCUAAAGAAUUCAACAGAGAAAAGAUAAAAUGCAAAACUAUAACUACUACUUGUGCAUAUAAAACAAAAAGUAAAAAUUGCAAAAAUAUUAAAAAGCAACAACAACAACUGGAAAUAAAACUACAAACGUUCCGAAACUUUGGCAUCUUGCGGAAAUGAUCACCAGUGUUGCGGGAUUUUUUCUUUAGUAAAUGAGAGAAAUGGAUAAGGGGAUUAUAAUAGAAGACACUUAAAAUGAAGCAAAUAUAAGUGCACGGCGGGAUGAAGAAGGAUACAUUUCCAAAAUAUCUUUUGAGAAAUAACAAGCACCAGCUUCUGGAAAUAUAUUUAGAAAAAAAAGUAAAAACUUGUACAACCAGUUGAAGGCAAUGGUGGUGGCAGUAAGUGGAGUGAAGUAAAGCAGUCUAGUGAAUUGAUGUUUGAGUCUAUAAACCACAUUUGGAACUGCAAUUUUGUAUGAAAAUGAUCAUGACGAUGUCGAUCGUAGCUGUGUUGCUGCUACUGAUAGAGUUGAUGUGCAUCGAUAUUUGCAGUUAGUGGUUUUUUGUCCCUAUUAAGAAAAUAUUUGUAAAUUUCCAAAAAAAAUUUUGUCUGCCUGUUUAAAAAUGAUUUAAAUUUUUAGAAUUUUAAAUAAUUUAUUUAACAUUUUAAGGUCUGAUUAAUGUUUUAAAGUAAUUUAUUGUAUCUGAAGUAAAAAAAAUGAUUUUAGGGUUUUUGAAAUUUUAUUGUAGUAAUUAUACUAUGGUUAGCAUAUGGCUGUAUGCUUCAUGAAUAUUAAUUUUAUCUUAAAGGCUCUUUAAAAGUCGGCAUCCUUAUACUGACAUACAAGGCCAGUUAAAUAUAAAAAAAGAAACAUUUAUUUACACUUAAACAAAUAAUCAUUAAAAAA